rnacentral:rRNA from 1 species
UGGGGAAUAUUGCACAAUGGGCGCAAGCCUGAUGCAGCAACGCCGCGUGAACGAUGAAGGUCUUCGGAUCGUAAAGUUCUGUUGCCGGGGAAGAUAAUGACGGUACCCUGUGAGGAAGCCCCGGCUAACUACGUGCCAGCAGCCGCGGUAAUACGUCGGGGGCUAGCGUUAUCCGGAUUUACUGGGCGUAAAGGGUGCGUAGGUGGUCUUUCAAGUCGGUGGUUAAAGGCUACGGCUCAACCGUAGUUAGCCUCCGAAACUGGAAGACUUGAGUGCAGGAGAGGAAAGUGGAAUUCCCAGUGUAGCGGUGAAAUGCGUAGAUAUUGGGAGGAACACCAGUAGCGAAGGCGGCUUUCUGGACUGCAACUGACACUGAGGCACGAAAGCGUGGGUAGCAAACAGG